rnacentral:rRNA from 1 species
UUAAGUUAGAAAGGGCGCACGGUGGAUGCCUUGACACUAGGAGUCGAUGAAGGACGGGACUAACGCCGAUAUGCUUCGGGGAGCUGUAAGUAAGCUUUGAUCCGAAGAUUUCCGAAUGGGGAAACCCACCAUACGUAAUGGUAUGGUAUCCUUAUCUGAAUACAUAGGGUAAGGAAGACAGACCCAGGGAACUGAAACAUCUAAGUACCUGGAGGAAGAGAAAGCAAAUGCGAUUUCCUGAGUAGCGGCGAGCGAAACGGAACAUAGCCCAAACCAAGAGGCUUGCCUCUUGGGGUUGUAGGACAUUCUAUACGGAGUUACAAAGGAACGAGGUAGACGAAGCGACCUGGAAAGGUCCGUCGUAGAGGGUAACAACCCCGUAGUCGAAACUUCGUUCUCUCUUGAAUGUAUCCUGAGUACGGCGGAACACGUGAAAUUCCGUCGGAAUCUGGGAGGACCAUCUCCCAAGGCUAAAUACUCCCUAGUGAUCGAUAGUGAACCAGUACCGUGAGGGAAAGGUGAAAAGCACCCCGGAAGGGGAGUGAAAGAGAUCCUGAAACCGUGUGCCUACAAAUAGUCAGAGCCCGUUAACGGGUGAUGGCGUGCCUUUUGUAGAAUGAACCGGCGAGUUACGAUCCCGUGCGAGGUUAAGCUGAAGAGGCGGAGCCGCAGCGAAAGCGAGUCUGAAUAGGGCGUUUAGUACGUGGUCGUAGACCCGAAACCAGGUGAUCUACCCAUGUCCAGGGUGAAGUUCAGGUAACACUGAAUGGAGGCCCGAACCCACGCACGUUGAAAAGUGCGGGGAUGAGGUGUGGGUAGCGGAGAAAUUCCAAUCGAACCUGGAGAUAGCUGGUUCUCCCCGAAAUAGCUUUAGGGCUAGCCUUAAGUGUAAGAGUCUUGGAGGUAGAGCACUGAUUGGACUAGGGGUCCUCAUCGGAUUACCGAAUUCAGUCAAACUCCGAAUGCCAAUGACUUAUCCUUAGGAGUCAGACUGCGAGUGAUAAGAUCCGUAGUCAAAAGGGAAACAGCCCAGACCGCCAGCUAAGGUCCCAAAGUGUGUAUUAAGUGGAAAAGGAUGUGGAGUUGCUUAGACAACUAGGAUGUUGGCUUAGAAGCAGCCACCAUUUAAAGAGUGCGUAAUAGCUCACUAGUCGAGUGACUCUGCGCCGAAAAUGUACCGGGGCUAAAUACACCACCGAAGCUGCGGAUUGAUACCAAUGGUAUCAGUGGUAGGGGAGCGUUCUAAGGACAGUGAAGUCAGACCGGAAGGACUGGUGGAGUGCUUAGAAGUGAGAAUGCCGGUAUGAGUAGCGAAAGACGGGUGAGAAUCCCGUCCACCGAAUGCCUAAGGUUUCCUGAGGAAGGCUCGUCCGCUCAGGGUUAGUCAGGACCUAAGCCGAGGCCGACAGGCGUAGGCGAUGGACAACAGGUUGAUAUUCCUGUACCACCUCUUUAUCGUUUGAGCAAUGGAGGGACGCAGAAGGAUAGAAGAAGCGUGCGAUUGGUUGUGCACGUCCAAGCAGUUAGGCUGAUAAGUAGGCAAAUCCGCUUAUCGUGUAGGCUGAGCUGUGAUGGGGAAGCUCCUUAUGGAGCGAAGUCUUUGAUUCCCCGCUGCCAAGAAAAGCUUCUAGCGAGAUAAAAGGUGCCUGUACCGCAAACCGACACAGGUAGGCGAGGAGAGAAUCCUAAGGUGUGCGAGAGAACUCUGGUUAAGGAACUCGGCAAAAUGACCCCGUAACUUCGGGAGAAGGGGUGCUUUCUUAACGGAAAGCCGCAGUGAAUAGGCCCAAGCGACUGUUUAGCAAAAACACAGCUCUCUGCGAAGCCGUAAGGCGAAGUAUAGGGGGUGACACCUGCCCGGUGCUGGAAGGUUAAGGAGAGGGGUUAGCGUAAGCGAAGCUCUGAACUGAAGCCCCAGUAAACGGCGGCCGUAACUAUAACGGUCCUAAGGUAGCGAAAUUCCUUGUCGGGUAAGUUCCGACCCGCACGAAAGGUGUAACGAUUUGGGCACUGUCUCAACCAGAGACUCGGUGAAAUUAUAGUACCUGUGAAGAUGCAGGUUACCCGCGACAGGACGGAAAGACCCCGUGGAGCUUUACUGUAGCCUGAUAUUGAAUUUUGGUACAGUUUGUACAGGAUAGGCGGGAGCCAUUGAAACCGGAGCGCUAGCUUCGGUGGAGGCGCUGGUGGGAUACCGCCCUGACUGUAUUGAAAUUCUAACCUACGGGUCUUAUCGACCCGGGAGACAGUGUCAGGUGGGCAGUUUGACUGGGGCGGUCGCCUCCUAAAGUGUAACGGAGGCGCCCAAAGGUUCCCUCAGAAUGGUUGGAAAUCAUUCGUAGAGUGCAAAGGCAUAAGGGAGCUUGACUGCGAGACCUACAAGUCGAGCAGGGACGAAAGUCGGGCUUAGUGAUCCGGUGGUUCCGCAUGGAAGGGCCAUCGCUCAACGGAUAAAAGCUACCCCGGGGAUAACAGGCUUAUCUCCCCCAAGAGUCCACAUCGACGGGGAGGUUUGGCACCUCGAUGUCGGCUCAUCGCAUCCUGGGGCUGUAGUCGGUCCCAAGGGUUGGGCUGUUCGCCCAUUAAAGCGGUACGCGAGCUGGGUUCAGAACGUCGUGAGACAGUUCGGUCCCUAUCCGUCGUGGGCGUAGGAAAUUUGAGAGGAGCUGUCCUUAGUACGAGAGGACCGGGAUGGACGCACCGCUGGUGUACCAGUUGUUCUGCCAAGGGCAUAGCUGGGUAGCUAUGUGCGGAAGGGAUAAGUGCUGAAAGCAUCUAAGCAUGAAGCCCCCCUCAAGAUGAGAUUUCCCAUAGCGUAAGCUAGUAAGAUCCCUGAAAGAUGAUCAGGUUGAUAGGUUCGAGGUGGAAGCAUGGUGACAUGUGGAGCUGACGAAUACUAAUAGAUCGAGGACUUAACCAU